rnacentral:rRNA from 1 species
AUAACGUAGCGAAAGUUACGCUAAUACCGCAUAUUCUGUGAGCAGGAAAGCAGGGGAUCGCAAGACCUUGCGCUGAUUGAGCGGCCGAUAUCAGAUUAGCUAGUUGGUGAGGUAAAGGCUCACCAAGGCGACGAUCUGUAGCGGGUCUGAGAGGAUGAUCCGCCACACUGGAACUGAGACACGGUCCAGACUCCUACGGGAGGCAGCAGUGGGGAAUUUUGGACAAUGGGGCAACCCUGAUCCAGCCAUGCCGCGUGAGUGAAGAAGGCCUUCGGGUUGUAAAGCUCUUUCGGCCGGGAAGAAAUCGUAUGGGUUAAUACCCUGUGCGGAUGACGGUACCGGCAUAAGAAGCACCGGCUAACUACGUG